GAUGAACGCUGGCGGCGUGCCUAAUACAUGCAAGUCGAGCGAACAGACGAGGAGCUUGCUCCUCUGACGUUAGCGGCGGACGGGUGAGUAACACGUGGAUAACCUACCUAUAAGACUGGGAUAACUUCGGGAAACCGGAGCUAAUACCGGAUAAUAUAUUGAACCGCGUGGUUCAAUAGUGAAAGACGGUUUUGCUGUCACUUAUAGAUGGAUCCGCGCCGCAUUAGCUAGUUGGUAAGGUAACGGCUUACCAAGGCAACGAUGCGUAGCCGACCUGAGAGGGUGAUCAGCCACACUGGAACUGAGACACGGUCCAGACUCCUACGGGAGGCAGCAGUAGGGAAUCUUCCGCAAUGGGCGAAAGCCUGACGGAGCAACGCCGCGUGAGGGAUGAAGGUCUUCGGAUCGUAAAACUCUGUUAUUAGGGAAGAACAAAUGUGUAAGUAACUAUGCACGUCUUGACGGUACCGAAUCAGAAAGCACCGGCUAACUACGUG
rnacentral:rRNA from 1 species